rnacentral:hammerhead_ribozyme from 1 species
ACCCAGAUGACGAGUUUCAAAUAGGACGAAAUGUACAUCCUGGAU